rnacentral:tRNA from 1 species
GCUCGGGUGGCUCAAUCGGUUAAGCACCGGACUUUGGCUCAGGUCAUGAUCUCACAGUUUGUGGGUUCGAGCCCCGCGUCGGGCU